GCAAACUUAGAGUAUGUUAAUAUCAUGCUUAGGCUUGGUCCGGCCCAACCCAUGAGCACUUCUACUAUGCAUACAAUUGUAGAUUUGGUCUAUAUUAUCCAAUUGGAUCAUUCCAAGUUUUUAUAUUUUUCGAAUUUUAAAAUUUAAAUUUUGAUGCAAAUGACAGUCGUAUCCAUUAACUAGAUUUUUAGUUAGUAUUAUAUAGAAAUAACAAUAUAACACCCCAAAACUCGACCUAUAAAUUUCGACUGAAUUCUGGAAAUUACAUUAGCCACUGUAAUGACUUGACAUACAAUCCGUUCAAACUUUAAAAACGCUAUUUCUAAAACCACUUAUACUCACGUUUAGUAAAAUUCAGUAUUAAUUUAUCUAGAAAAAAAAAAAU
rnacentral:lncRNA from 1 species